GACGUAGGGCGCAAGCGUUUGUCCGGAUUUAUUGGGCGUAAAGAGCUCGUAGGCGGCUCGUUGCGUCGGCUGUGAAAACCCGCAGCUCAACUGUGGGCUUGCAGCCGAUACGGGCGGGCUGGAGUUCGGUAGGGGAGACUGGAAUUCCUGGUGUAGCGGUGAAAUGCGCAGAUAUCAGGAGGAACACCGGUGGCGAAGGCGGGUCUCUGGGCCGAUACUGACGCUGAGGAGCGAAAGCGUGGGGAGCGAACAGG
rnacentral:rRNA from 1 species